AAGCUGGCCGGGAUGAAGGACAUGGCAAAGAUGACGCAAAUGGCCACCACUGCGUCCACCGAGGUGGUCAGGCUUUAAAAACAACAGAACAAAAUUUUUCAUCCGAUGAGAUGAGCUGUGCAGGACUGACCUUCACACAGUUUUCAGUCUCCAUGUACCUGAGGAACGUCCCAAUGUCKCCAAGAGUCUGAUUGGAGUAUUUACCCUGAAAGGGGCUGAGGGUCAGACUGGGAUACUCUCCAAACGGUGGAACUAUCAGCG